AGAGUGAACGCUGGCGGUAGGCCUAACACAUGCAAGUCGAACGGCAGCACAGUGGUAGCAAUACCAUGGGUGGCGAGUGGCGGACGGGUGAGGAAUACAUCGGAAUCUACCUUUUCGUGGGGGAUAACGUAGGGAAACUUACGCUAAUACCGCAUACGCCCUUCGGGGGAAAGCCGGGGAUCGCAAGACCUGGCGCGGAUAGAUGAGCCGAUGUCGGAUUAGCUAGUUGGUGAGGUAAUGGCUCACCAAGGCGACGAUCCGUAGCUGGUCUGAGAGGAUGAUCAGCCACACUGGGAACUGACGACACGGUCCAGACUCCUACGGGGAGCAGCAGUGGGGAAUAGUUGGACAAGUGGGCGACAAGCCUGAU
rnacentral:rRNA from 1 species